ACGGGCACGGACGCCCGUGGUUCCAAACAGAAACGAUGUUUUAAAAGCAUAAGCUUUUUCCAAGUGCUUUUAAAACUCGUGGUUAAGUUUUUGCCACGGACGGCAAAAACUUAACCGUU
rnacentral:sRNA from 1 species